rnacentral:rRNA from 1 species
UGAGGAAUAUUGGACAAUGGGCGCAAGCCUGAUCCAGCCAUGCCGCGUGCAGGAUGACGGUCCUAUGGAUUGUAAACUGCUUUUGCACAGGAAGAAACACUCGGACGUGUCCGAGCUUGACGGUACUGUGAGAAUAAGGAUCGGCUAACUCCGUG